AACGCACAUUGCGCCCGCCAGUAUUCUGGCGGGCAUGCCUGUUCGAGCGUCAUUUCAACCAUCAAGCGCCUCGCUUGUGUUGGGGCCCUGCGGCUGCCGCAGGCCCCUAAAUCCAGUGGCGGGCUCGUCGUGGUACCGAGUGCAGUAAACAUCCUCGCUCAGGGAACCCGACGGGUGCCGGCCGUGAAACCCCCCCUUCUUAAGGUUGACCUCGGAUCAGGUAGGAAUACCCGCUGAACUUAA
rnacentral:misc_RNA from 1 species